ensembl:lncRNA
GUGGGCAAGGCAGAAGGCUGAAGAUUAAAUUGAAUCGUCUGGUUUGUUUUAUAAAGGAGGGGUGGAUCUCUCUCUCUCUCUCUCUCUCUCUCUCUCUCUCAUCCUCUUGUGUCUUCAUUUUUCCACUUACUCUAAAACAAGGCCUUUUUGUCCGAGACCUCAUCAAACUCACAUGGUUCGGAAGAGAGAGGACGCAGAGGUGGGACAGAACGAUCGCAGGGAGGAUAAAGUGCACAAAGGAGAGCUUCAGACACUCAGGAGAAUGACUUCUUUUGGGUCAGCAGAGCUUUCGGCUGCCUUCUGUUUAUUCUUUCAGCUCCUGAGCGAAGGACAGAGGAACACGGCGUUCCAAUGAAUAAAAAAAAUAAACAAACAAGAACAACAGAGGAACAAGAUUCCAGGACCUGGGAAACCGGAACGGGAUUCUAGAAACUGGAAAACUAGGACAAGUUUGUAGAAGCGGGUUGGAAAAAAUCAUCGGAAAACGCUUUGUAGACUCGGAUAGAGAGCGGAACAAGCUCCUAGAAGCCGGAGAACUGGAACGAGGUUCUAGAAGUGGAAAGAGAGCGGAACGAGCUUCCAGAAGCCGGAGAACUGGAAGGAGCUUCUAGAAGCCGGAGAACUGGAACGAGGUUCUAGAAGCAGGAGAACUGGAACGGAG